CCGUGUCUAGCUGCGGAGAGCCGAGCCGAGCCGAGCCGAGCCGAGCGUCCCCAUAGAUUGAAGCAGUGAUGUGUUCAGAGGAUGGCUUUGGGCCAGAACAGCUUUUCCCUAUGAUGAGAAAACAAAGUUCUUAGGAGCCAGGGCUCUGAAGCCGCCUGCGAAGUCAUUCUCAAGCCUGCUCCUUCUACCUUGAAGCCUCCCAGACACUUCUGAAGAACUUUUGCCGAGGUUACCUUUUCCCGAUGGUGCAAAAUCGACUUGACAUAACUGUUCAUCAGUUUCAGGGUUUUCCCUGGAGGUAUUUGCAUCAAAUCAGCCCAGUCAAGCUUCAAGUUGAAAUUGGCAGGCCAGAAACUGACAGGGUAGGGACUGGGAAAGAGACAGCUAAAGUGCAGGCAGCAAACUGACAGCAGCAGAGUGAAAGACACACACAGAGAGAAAGAAGCUAAGCUUUUCAACUUUGGGGGAGGGGGGACAUCAAAUCUAAAUGUUUUAGGUCUUAAUAGUACUGGAUACAGUGAAGUUUUUCAAGGCUGGAGGACCAGUGCCUUUAUCCAGUUCCUAGAACCAGGAAAGACUUGCUCUGCUACACUCUGUACAAAGUGUAGUUUAAUCUGAUUGGAUGCCUAAAGAGGAGUGGUGAGACCUAAUCAGAUCAUGCUAAAGUUCUAGGGAAUAGGAACCUCCCAUGGACUUUGAAGAGAAGCAUUUAAAAAAAUAGAAAAUAAAAGUGGAGUAAUCAUGAAAAGUUGUCAGCAUUAGAUUUAACAAGCUUACUUUGCUGCAAUUCUUUUCUGGAGUAGUGUCAUGCUUAUGCACCACAAAUGUGAAGACAAAUGACUGAAAAGGUUGCUAAUACCAGUGAAAACAUAUUUUGAUCAGCUAAAAAGAGAGGAGCGCAAUAUGUUUAUCUGCAAAGAUAAUUAGAAACCUCCCUCCCCCCAGCAUUUCCUUGAAUAUGUUAUUUCACUUACGCUCUGUCACUUGAGGGCCUCAGAUCAGGAUGACACAAAAUUUUUUUUUAAAUAGAUUAUUUUAAAAAAUCUGGGGUGAAAAACACCAGGACAGAAUUUUACUGACUAAAAAUAGCUGUACAUCCUAUUUAGAACCCCACACCUCCAGGUGCAUUAAAGGAAGAAAAAUAUAUGUUUUCCUCCAUUUAAAAUUAUUUAUUUAUUUAUUGGUCUUUACUGGAUGAUUAAAAAUCCUUCUGACUUCUCCUACCAGACUUGUGCUAAAGUAAGCCUUGCUUUCAAACAGUUUUUCAGCUGUGUGUGUGACAGGCAUUGGCUGAUCUGCUGAUGCCCAUUCGACAGGCACUGUUGAGCUAAAGUGGUGUGACGGCACAGUUUUGUUAAGCUGUGAACAAAGGGCUGGAGAUGCCUCGCUGGCAUCAUCCAUGUGCAUAUUGGCCUUGUCACAGUAUUGCUUGAUUUAAUGCUCUGUUUAUUCCUAGAUAUUAGAACUUAAAUUCCAAACAAUAUGUUUUCAUAUACUACAUAUGAACUUUAUUUUAAAAGCUUUCACUCCCAAAGAACCACAGAUCCAUUUGUUUCUUCAAUUUCUAUGCAGCAAAUAUUUAAAAUGUAGCUCCUAGAUGGAUAGGUGGCCACUAGCCUCUUAACUGUUAUCCAGCUAAAAAUGGGAUUUCAGUUUUAAAAAGUCUUAUUGGGGUAAAAGAUUUAUUUUUCUUUGAUCAUUGCUUGAGAGUUGUUAUUUAUUUCAACAGUGGAUUUUCUUAUAAGCUCCUAAAGAAAGGUUACCCUCUGUGCAGACAGGGCCAGCUGGUUGGACUUUUCAAAUGACAUAUCAUCCCAAUGGUGCUGCUGUGAUAAAAUGAUCACUUUGCAAAUACCUGUAAGCACAAUGACAUGAUUAUUGGCAGGUUAGUGGAAAGAAAACAGGUUUUAGAUUUUUAAAAAUUUGUUCAUUGGAUGGGUACAACUUUACAUCUCAGCAGAAAACUUGAGUAGCUAAUCCUAAAUUUAGAUUCUGAUUGUUGGAGAUGCCUCAGGCUUUAUCUUUAAAAAAGUUUUUCUUCUUUUUAAACUCUGUUCAGGUUUGCUGCAAGUGUUUGCUAAGAGAUUAGUUAGCUAGCUUGCGCUGAGGAGGUAGCCAUGGGAAGCAGUGCUUUGCUGGAAGGAAUGUUCAGUAGGUCAGGGUGUGAAGAUAUAGGGAGCUGCGACUAACAGAAGCUUGGGAUCAGGUAUUUUCCUCUUUGUUUCAUAUCAAAAACAAAGUGCUUAUGGAAAGGUUUGUGGUGAGACAUCAGAUCCCAGCAGGAACACAGCUGUUGUUUUGCAGGAUUCCUAAUGAACAUUUUAGCUCAACAAGUUUAUGAAAUAAAAGGUAUUUUGUUUCUUUAUUAUUAUUUUUGUAGGCAGAGCAUCUUAGUUUGAUUGUGUAAAGAUUCUAUCAUCCCAGCGUUUCAGGGAUAUUUUGCACUAUUCCUUUCUAAUACAUGGUGCUUUACUUGAGGACUGUAAGUAGGCAAAGGGGAGGAGGAGAUGGGAAUGCUCCACAAAAUGAAACUAUUUCUUCACCAAGCAGUUCAGUCUGUCUAGAGCCUAAAUCUGAAAUUGAAUCUGCUGGGCAAAACCUGUACAAUUUUUCUACCUGCCCUUAGUCUGCUUCUUUUCAACUAUGACAGUUUUACUAACUGAAAUGAAUGGGCUUGUUUACUGUGGUACCUUUUCUCAGAAUGCAUUUACAUCAAGUACUUCAAACAGCAAGCUGGGUGAUAUAUGUAGGCGGACAGCUUGCACAGAAUAAGCUUUAAUGGUUAAUUUUUGUAUAGUUUUAUAAGCGAAAGGGACUUAAAGCUACUAGCAGUAUAGAUCACAAGACCUUACGUGGUCUUUUCUUCUCUAGAUGCAUGAGAGAUUUACGCGCCUAAGUCCCAUAAGAGUUAAUGGGAGUUAUGCAUGUAAAUCUCCUGCACAGUGAGAUAAUAGGCCCUUUUAUGUAUCGAUAAGAUGGAUUCUUACUAACCAUUCAAAAUGAGCCUGGGUGCAAAUUUUAUGCUCCCUAUUAAUAUUUUAUUAGCAAAUAUUUAUAAAACAGACAGAAGAUGUAGGGCCCCUAAGAAUGGUCUUGAUCAUGGUCCCAUUGACGUUACUAGCAAAACUCUCAUUGAUGUCCACAGAGCAGGACUGGGCCCAAAAUUGGCAUUGUCUCCUCUGUUUGUACCUUUCCCUGCUCUACAUCUGCUGUUGAUUACAACAUAAACCUGACUGUGACAGGAUAUUGCAUAGGCCAAAUUACUUUUCACCUCUUUACAAACUCUUGUGGCUAAGGAUCUCACAGCAUGAGGACUGGAAAAGAAGGAAACCAUAGAGGAGACAGCUGGUACCAAUGCGCUAUAUCCUUCUCUCAUGGUUACACUCACUUUUAGCCCCACUGUCAGGUUGCUCAGGAGAGAUAACCAUCUCAAGGUAUAAUGGGACUGAAACUACAGUUCUGGAGCCUUAGAAUUCCACCUGUUCUGAGGGAAGAGAGUGCUUUUUAUACAGGAACCCGUGUUGUUCAAUGGAAGUAUCCUACAGGGUAGACAGUUCUCUCCAGGACAGUACUCAGAGUCUAUCCAAGGAACAAUACUUGUUCAGUCUUCAAUGUGAAAUACACAGGUGUUGCUAGCAUUGGACAUCUGCUUCAGUGUAAUGUCCCUCCCUGAGAAAGAAAACAGACUUUGCCUCACAUAAAUAAGAUCUUUGAAUUUCUCUUCAUUGAUAGAUAGAUAUACAUAUAUCUAUAUUAAAAACGUUAAAGAUUCAUAUCUGCAAGCCAUGAGUCUGAAUGAGAUGUUAUCCUAUGGUAAUGUGUAGCUGUAGAUAGCCAGUGCAACAGCACACCAGUACAUUGUUCCAGUAACAAUUCUUUGAUUUAUAAGCUAUAGCUCUUUUUUUUCCCAUCAUUGUUUCUUUACAUCACUUCUAUGCUUCUUGUGAUACUGAUCUGAGUGAGUUGUGCACGCUUCCAAUUUGCCAGCCCCCUGCUCCCAGGCCUGCUACAGCACUAUGCAAAUAAUUUAGUACAUUAGACUAUCAGAUUAAAUCCGAGGGUUUCUACCAGUGGUGGAAUCGGAAAAUCCAUUUUUUUUAUUAUCAUAUCAUCAGCCCCAACUGAUACUAGUAUUCUCAAGGAAAACAUACUUCAGUUACAGUUGAUUUUCAGAUUCCAAAAUGGUGCUGCAAAGUCUAUGCAUGCCUAAUUAUAUUUUAUAUUAGGCUGUGCAAUACAGAAUGUAUGCUGCAGCAAUCAGUGAGUUAACAGUAUCAAUCAAUUUGUAAACAGAUGAAGUCACUCAUUCCCAAACUGGUUUUCCAAAAACAAUUACUAAAUUACAAUAGAAAAAAAUUGUACAGUUACUGUAUUUGUGUGCUGUGUUACAAUCAACAUACCAGGGAAACAAAACAAUUUAAUGCAGAAAAAUCAUCAUUCAUCUACAUUAUAAUUGCUUCUUUUUCACAUCUACAGGGCGGUUAAUUAAAAUUGUGAUUAAAUGCGGUCGCGCUGCCUAAGAUGUCUUGCCCAAAACAGGUGGUACAGAAUUUAAAAGUAAAAAAAAUGUAAUUAGCAUUGGAAAUUGAGAAAUUGCCUGUAAGAAUCAGUGUUAAUUUCAGUCAGUGAUGAGGUAAUUUAUAAAUGAAUGCGGUGGAGGCUGUGCAAAUGCACAAUUGCCUUCCUUCCCAUUCUUAGCAUUCUCAGCAUGCAGGUGAAAAUGUUUUCAAAAUAUUGAGGUAAUUUGAAAAUCAAUCCAUGCAUUCUGUAUCUUUUUUCUCCUGUUUGUAGCGAAUACUGAACAAAUGCUGCCAUAGAUGGCAUAAUAUAUCAGUUUUGCACUUACUGAAAGCAAUAUUACUUCAUAUAUUGUGGCAUCCGAUAGAGUUUAACUAAACAAAAUGCCUGGCUAAGAUUCUUUACAAAAGCCAAAAUGUUGAUUGAAGUCCUUAGUGACCCUGAAUCUCUUCAAAUAUAUUAUGUGUUUAAAAUACGCUUUCCCUAAAAAGGCAAUAGCAAUCUGCAUUGAGUAUUAAAACUGAUACUGUAAAACAAAAUAGAUGCUAAUAUGACAUCAAAAUCUUGAUUUCUUGGUUACAAUUAAUGCAAUGCACUAGAAAAGUCUCAACAGAACAAAUAUUUUCUUUAAAAAACUCUUCUUGUAAACAUUUAUUCAAUAUUUCAUCCCAGAACUAUAAAAAAAACUGUUACAUAGGUUAUCUAUACGCAUAUUUUUUCUUAGAUGAUCUGUGCUUUUCAUAAACUUUGACUGAUAAAAUCAAAAAUGCUCAUUUCUAACUAAAGUACAUCCUUCUGGACAUAAACAAUUAAGCACAAACUUCACAGCAACCAAUAUGUUACAGGUUAGUGUAACCUCAAAUAAAUAAAUUUAAAAAUUCCAAAAUACGUACAUCACGGUAGACUAUAAAAAUACACAGCACUAAACGAUUUGAACAGUCAUUGCAUUAUUGUUGGACUUCAAAACAACUGUCAUUUAUAGUUAUCCAUGUGGGUAUUUAAAAAUAACUUCUGCUUUUGAUAAUGUUGACCAUUUGAAUGAUGUGCAUGUAGAGUUAGUCUGAUUUCCAAGCAGCAAAAUACAGGUGUUGGUUAUCAGGUUGCAAUGAUAAUAGGUGAAGCUGUGAGAUGGCUCUCAAGCAUCACACACUUUAAUUAAAGAAAGCUAGUAUACACCUAUAAGGACUUUGUUACCCAUAUAAUUACAUAAGUAUUGCAAAUCAUUUUAUUAGUCUAUCUCCAAUAGUUAACUUUUCUCAGAGAAACUUGUUUUUCUUUUUUGUAAGCCCUGUGAACUUGUGCAUUUUAGAGCAUAUUUUGCUACCUGUUGCAGUUGCUAGGCCUUUGCCUCCACAUGGUGAUUAGUACUGUGAAUGGACAGGUACAGGUCAGAGAAUAUUGAUUUCUUUAACAAUAUAGUUUAGUAGUGAGAAAAUGUAUUGGUUAGGGUACAGGACUGUGAGUCAGGAGAUCUGGAUUCUAGUCUUAGUUCUGCUGGAGAUUCUUUGGGCCUGGGUCUGAUCUCCCCUCCAGCAGUGUAUAGUCAGUGGAAUUAUACCCUUGUAUAGUUACAGAAGACAAGAUCAGAAUCAAGAGCCAUGUGUGCUGUCAGGCAUGUCAGUUAGCCUCUCUGUGCUUGUUUUCCUGUACCUUAUUGGUACAGCAUCAUGGGGACAUAAUCUUUACCUCCUUCAAAUGGUUUUUGUAAGGUUUAGCAUUUACAAAGCACUUUGAGAUCCUUAGUAGCUGCAGAAAUAUUAUUUAUUAUUAUGGUUUCAUGAUAAACUAAUCAGAUGCAAAGGAA